rnacentral:rRNA from 1 species
AACCUCCGCAAUGUGAGAAAUCGCGACGGGGGGAUCCCAAGUGCCAUUCUUAACGGGAUGGCUUUUCAUUAGUGUAAAGAGCUUUUGGAAUAAGAGCUGGGCAAGACCGGUGCCAGCCGCCGCGGUAACACCGGCAGCUCUAGUGGUAACAAUUUUUAUUGGGCCUAAAGCGUCCGUAGCCGGUUUAAUAAGUCUCUGGUGAAAUCCUGCAGCUUAACUGUGGGAAUUGCUGGAGAUACUAUUAGACUUGAGACCGGGAGAGGUUAGAGGUACUCCCAGGGUAGAGGUGAAAUUCUGUAAUCCUGGGAGGACCGCCUGUUGCGAAGGCGUCUAACUGGAACGGUUCUGACGGUGAGGGACGAAAGUUAGGGGCGCGAACCGGAUUAGAUACCCGGGUAGUCCUAACUGUAAACGAUGCGGACUUGGUGUCGGGGUGGCUUUGAGCUGCUUCAGUGCCGAAGGGAAGCUGUUAAGUCCGCCGCCUGGGAAGUACGGUCGCAAGACUGAAACUUAAAGGAAUU